ACCCAAGGUCUCCCCCUAUUUCUCUUUCUCCUCACUUUCUCUCUAAAAUCUUUAUCCUUUUCAAAUUUAUUUGUCUAAUCUUUUUAAUUUGAAGUUUUCAGUCUUCUCUAUUAAUGCCAAAUAAAAAAAAAAUAGUAUUGGACUAAGACAUAGUUGUACUAAUGGAUCUCUAAUUCUAAUAAAUCUUGCAUGUUGGCCGAAGUGACAAUAGUCAGAGUUCCCCCUCUGUCUGUCUCUCUGAGUUUCUACUGAGACAUAGCUGUAUUAAUGGGUCUCUGAUCUUAAUAAAUUAAGGAUUCUCAACCCAUAUAUGAUUUUAGUUUUGGGUUUUUCUUUUUUUGAUAGCCAAGGUUAAUUAAUCCUUAAUACCUAUAUUAAUAAAUUUUGUUAUUAAUUUGAGCACAAAAGUCCUAAAUUAUUUUCUAAAUAUGGGGAGAGAUCUUUUUGCAUUGUUUUAAAGGAGCAUGAAAGUUCACUAUUGUAGGCCUAGCCAAAGUUAAUUAAUCCUUAAUACCUAUAUUAAUAAAUUUUGUUAUUAAUUUGAGCACAAAAGUCCUAAAUUAUUUUCUAAAUAUAGGGAGAGAUCUUUUUGCAUUGUUUUAAAGGAGCAUGAAAGUUCACUAUUGUAGGCCUCAUGUUCUGUUAAAUCUUUUUUUUCCAGUUAGAUCAUAAGAUAUCAAUCAAAGAUCGAUUUGAUAAAAGCUAACGUUUAAAAUUGUUUCUCUUC
rnacentral:lncRNA from 1 species